GACGAACGCUGGCGGCGUGCCUAAUACAUGCAAGUCGAACGGUCUUUUCUAUGGAAGCUUGCUUCCACUGAGAAGAUAGUGGCGAACGGGUGAGUAACACGUUGGUAACCUGCCCAUAAGAGGGGGAUAACAUCCGGAAACGGGUGCUAAUACCGCAUAGGUUUCUUGGUCGCAUGAUCGAGAAAGGAAAGACGGCCUUUGUGCUGUCGCUUAUGGAUGGACCCGCGGCGUAUUAGUCAGGUGGUGAGGUAACGGCUCACCAAGACGUUGAUACGUAGCCGACCUGAGAGGGUGAUCGGCCACAUUGGGAAUGAGACACGGCCCAAACUCCUACGGGAGGCAGCAGUAGGGAAUCGUCCGCAAUGGACGAAAGUCUGACGGAGCAACGCCGCGUGAGUGAAGAAGGUUUUCGGAUCGUAAAACUCUGUUGUCAGAGAAGAACAAGUCGGAGAGUAACUGCUCCGGCCUUGACGGUAUCUGACCAGAAAGCCACGGCUAACUACGUGCCAGCCGCCGCGGUAAAAC
rnacentral:rRNA from 1 species